rnacentral:misc_RNA from 3 species
AACGCACCUUGCGCUCCUUGGUAUUCCGAGGAGCAUGCCUGUUUGAGUGUCAUUAAAUCCUCAACCCCACCGAUUUGCUUCGGGGGGAUUGGACUUGGAGCGUGCUGGCGAAGGUCGGCUCCUCUUUAAAUGCAUCAGCGGAGAAGAAAGCUCGUCCCAGUGUGAUAAUCCUGUUGCGCUGUGGUGGGGUGAAAAUUCCGCUUCCAACCGUCCUCCGGGACAAGACAUCUCAAUUUGACCUCAAAUCAGGUAGGACUACCCGCUGAACUUAA